ensembl:snRNA U2 U2 spliceosomal RNA
AGACCAUUUUAACAUUGGCUGGAAUCAAAAUGUUAAAUCUGUUCUUAUCACUUUAAUAACAGAUACUUCCUCUAUCUCAGGACUAGCUAUUAAACUGAUUUUUGGAAUAGAGACAUGGAGUAGCAGCUUCCUCCACCCAGUGCGCACAUAGCCCUGUUAUUGUUGCACUGAACCUCUAGGAAUGGUGGACCUCCC